GACGAACGCUGGCGGCGUGCCUAAUACAUGCAAGUCGAACGAGAGCGACCGGUGCUUGCACUGGUCAAUCUAGUGGCGAACGGGUGAGUAACACGUGGGUAACCUGCCCAUCAGAGGGGGAUAACAUCCGGAAACGGAUGCUAAAACCGCAUAGGUCUUCGAGCCGCAUGGCUUGAAGAGGAAAAGAGGCGCAAGCUUCUGCUGAUGGAUGGACCCGCGGUGCAUUAGCUAGUUGGUGAGGUAACGGCUCACCAAGGCCGGGAUGCAUAGCCGACCUGGGAGGGUGGUCGGCCACAUUGGAACUGAGACACGGCCCAAACUCCUACGGGAGGCAGCAGUAGGGAAUCUUCCGCAAUGGACGCAAGUCUGACGGAGCAACGCCGCGUGAGUGAAGAAGGUUUUCGGAUCGUAAAACUCUGUUGUUAGAGAAGAACAAGUGCUAGAGUAACUGUUGGCGCCUUGACGGUGUCUAACCAGAAAGCCACGGCUAACUACGUG
rnacentral:rRNA from 1 species